rnacentral:tRNA from 1 species
UAGGACGUCGUCUAACGGAAAGACACUAGACUUUGAUUCUAGUGAAGGUUGUUCGAUUCAACCCGUCCUAG